AGCAGCCGCGGUAAUUCCAGCUCCAAUAGCGUAUAUUAAAGUUGUUGCAGUUAAAAAGCUCGUAGUUGAAUUUCGGGAUUAAUAUGCUGGUCGUGCCAUUGGUACGUACUAGUAUUAUUGAUUUCUCCCUUCUGAUGAAUCAUGAUGUCAUUAAUUUGAUGUCAUGGGGAAUCAGGACUGUUACUUUGAAAAAUUAGAGUGUUUAAAGCAGGCUCGCGCUUGAAUACAUUAGCAUGGAAUAAUGAAAUAGGACGUUUGAUUCUAUUUUGUUGGUUUCUAGGAUUGACGUAAUGAUUAAUAGGGAUAGUUGGGGGCAUUAGUAUUCAAUUGUCAGAGGUGAAAUUCUUGGAUUUAUUGAAGACUAACUACUGCGAAAGCAUUUGCCAAGGAUGUUUUCAUUAAUCAAGAACGAAAGUUAGGGGAUCGAAGACGAUCAGAUACCGUCGUAGUCUUAACAUAAACUAUGCCGACUAGGGAUCGGAUGAUGUUAAUUUUUAU
rnacentral:rRNA from 1 species